rnacentral:pre_miRNA from 1 species
CGGGGGGAGGGGGGGCCCCUCAGCCCGGAUUGUAAGAUGGCAUAGGCCAGGCCGAGGGACCCCACUGGUGCAUG